GAACAGUGCCAAUCAGUCACUAUAUGGCACUGCUCACAUGUUACAUGCUGUUUCUGUAACAGGAUUUACCCUCUACUUUUAUAUUUAAUAGUGACUGUUAUUGUUUCAGUGUACAAAGUGUGGAAUGGAUGCAAACACUAAUCGUCUGGAGUCAGGUGCUACCUCUGGAGAUGUUACCCAGUGCACCCAACAUUCACAACACAAAUCUGCUUCCCACAUCGAGGUGACAGAAAGUGUAAUAGAGGUGGACAGUAAUCGUUUGGAGUCAGAUGGUGCCUCUGGAGAUGAUCAUCAUUGCACUCAACAUUCACAGGAUGAGUCUACAUUCUGCAAUCUGGUGACAGAAAGUGGAAUAGAGGUGGACAGUAAUCGUUUGGAGUCAGAUGGUGCCUCUAGAGAUGAUCAUCAUUGCACCCAACAUUCACAGCAUGAGUCUUCAUUCUGUAAUCUGCAAGUGCCAGAUGAAACAUUUUCUGAUGACCAGUAUUGUAUACCGCACUCACAAGUGGAAACAAGCACUCCUCAGAUAUUGAGCCAGAACUGAAACCAUCUACAGAGCAAGCCCAGAAAACCUCAUCUGAGCAAGCAACAGAACCAACCAGUACCACAUCUGUUCCCAAAGGU
ensembl:lncRNA